GGAUUAGGCAUGCAAGUCGAGCGGGUAUAGCAAUAUAUCAGCGGCGAAAGGGAGAGUAACGCGUAGUUACGUGCCCCGAGGUCCGGAAUAGCCAGCCGAAAGGCUGGGUAAUGCUGGAUAAUGUCCCCGGACCAAAGGUGUGAUUCCGCCUCGGGAGCGGACUGCGUUGUACUAGCUAGUUGGUGAGGUAAUGGCUCACCAAGGCAAUGAUGCAUACCGGGCGUGAGAGCGUGGCCCGGCUCACUGGGACUGAGACACUGCCCAGACACCUACGGGUGGCUGCAGUCGAGAAUCUUCGGCAAUGAGCGCAAGCUUGACCGAGCGACGCCGCGUGCGGGAUGAAGGCCUUCGGGUUGUAAACCGCUUUCGGUUGGGAGGAAAUCACGAGGGGUUCUCCCCUCGAGUUGACCUAUCUUCGGGAGAAGGACGGGCUAAGUUCGUGCCAGCAGCCGCGGUAAUACAGA
rnacentral:rRNA from 1 species